GGUAAAUCUCGUGCCAGCAACCGCGGUUAUACGAGAGGCCCAAGUUGAUAGACAUCCGGCGUAAAGGGUGGUUAAUGAUGCAUUGUCACUAAAGCCGAACACCCCCAAGACUGUUGUACGUUUCCGGGGGAAAGAAGCCCAACAACGAAAGUAGCUUUAUAACACAUGACCCCACGAAAGCUGUGAAACAAACUAGGAUUAGAUACCCCACU
rnacentral:rRNA from 1 species